rnacentral:misc_RNA from 1 species
AAGUCGUAACAAGGUUUCCGUAGGUGAACCUGCGGAAGGAUCAUUACCGAGAGAGGGGCCUCGCGCUCCGGGGGUUUCGGCCCCCAUCUCUUCACCCUGUGUGUACCUAUCUUUGUUGCUUUGGCGGACCUCGGGGGUCUUCCUUCGCACCGGCUUCCGGGUCGGUGAGUGUCCGUCAGAGGCCCAUCUAAAUUCCGUUUAUCAGUGUUGUCCGAGUCCAAAACAAAUAAGUAAAAACUUUCAACAACGGAUCUCUUGGUUCCA